GACGGAGGGUGCUAGCGUUGUUCGGAAUCACUGGGCGUAAAGGGCGCGUAGGCGGCCUCAGGUGUCGGAUGUGAAAUCUCGGAGCUUAACUUCGAAACUGCAUUCGAUACUGCCGUGCUUGAGGACUGGAGAGGAGACUGGAAUUUACGGUGUAGCGGUGAAAUGCGUAGAUAUCGUAAGGAAGACCAGUGGCGAAGGCGGGGUCUCUGGACAGUUCCUGACGCUGAGGCACGAAGGUCAGGGGAGCAAACGGG
rnacentral:rRNA from 1 species